rnacentral:rRNA from 1 species
GGUUCUGCAACUUAUUUCCAAACUUCGAACGUUCUUGAUAUAAAAAAUUACCUAAUAGGAAUUUUUUAUUUAAAUAUAUGUUAUAAGUGGGCUCUGACCGGUAAGCGGUCAUGGCGAAAAGGGAUGAACCUAACGUAUAAAUAAGGUGCCUAAAUUUACUAACAAUGAAACCAUUAAAAGAGUCCAUGUAUUUAGACAGCGGGUCGGUGCCCCUAAAAGCAGGUAUCCGUUAAUGAGUGUGUUAAAACUCCCCCGCCGAAUACUCUGGCCUUGAAAAUGAAUGGCGCAUAUAGUAAUACCGAUAUUAUACAUUAAAAUUAUUUCAAAAUUUUAAAAGUAGGGGGAUGUGGAUAUCUUAGAGAAUUUUUAAUUGUAAAAUUGAAUUGAAAGAUAUCUAUUACAGAUCCUAAUUGAAGUAGCGAUUAUCCAGGUUAAUCUCCUGGGGGCUGAUGAGGAGUAGGGUUUCUGGGCAACUUAAACGGACCCAGAGUUAGUCGAUCCUAAUCAAAUUAAAUUUAGAGAAAGGGAAUAUGAAUGAUAUUUCAUAACUAAAAUUAAUUUUUAAAUGGUGACAUUUUUUUAAACUUAUUUCCAUCAAUUAAAUACUGUUUAAUAGGGAUUUCUUUCCUAUAUAACUUUUUAAUUAAAACUUAAGAAACAGGUUAACUGGAGAAUAAAGUUUUAAUUUAGUAAAAUUAUAAUUUCGAUUAUAAUAACGGCUAUUUAAAUGAUCCAUGAAACAAUAAGUUUAUUUUUUCAAAAAUUAAUUUAAUCGUACCGAUAACCGCAUCAGGUCUCCAAGGUGAGUAGCUUCUGGCCAUUGAGUAAUGGUAAUUUAGGGAAUUCGGCCAAUUAGAGCUGUAACUUCGGGAUAAAGCUUGGCUCUGAUGGAAAUCAGAACCGAUAGUUACAAGGAGAGCCCAACUGUUUAAUAAAAACUUAGUGUCGCGUCAUACCUUUAUAAGUAAUAAACGUGACAUGAAUCCUGCUCAGUGCUGUGUUUGUUAAACUGGAUUAAUCCAUUUAAGCGCCGGUAAAUAGCUGGGGUAACUAUGACUCUUAUCAAAGUAGCGAAAUACCUCGUCACUUAAUUAGUGACCUGCAUGAACGGAGCUAUGAGGUUCUCACUGUCCCAAAUUAUCACUCAGCGAACCAACAGUUGUGGGAACGGGCACAAAUUAUCCAGCGGGGAAAGAAGACCCUGUAGAGCUUCACUUUGGUCUAAUCUUGUAUAGUUUCGUUAGGGGUGCAGUCUAGGUGGGAGAUUUUUAAUCAAAUAUGAGAAACCACUACCCUUUCUGGAAUUAUACUUACUAAAAUUCUUUUCUAAAUUUUAGGAUCGGAUUAGAUAGAAAGUUUGGCUGGGGCGGCACACCUUCGAAAAAGCAGCGAAGGUGUCCUAAGUUAAGCUCAGUAAGGACAGAAAUCUUACGUUGAGGAUAAGGCCAAAAGCUUAAUUUACUGUGCCUUUUUGUACUAGGAUCAGUUUGGAAACAAAGGCCUAACGAUCCCUAAUUAGUCUUAGGUGUGUAAGACUUGGGGUGACAGACAAGUUACCUCCGGGACAACUGGCUUGUGGCUGCUAAGAGAUCAAAUCAACGCAGCUUUUUGAUUCUUCGAUGUCGGCUCUUCCUAUCCUAGUGAUGUACAAGUCACUAAGGGUUGGAUUGUUCACCCGUAUUAGGGAUCGUGAGCUGGGUUUAGACCGUCGUGAGCCAGGUUUGUUUUAUCCUACUGGAUAUAAUUUAGCAUCUUGAUAGUAGUUUGAUUUAGUACGAGAGGAACUGUUGAAUAUGGUCUCUGGUUUGGGAAUUUUAUGAAAAUAAAAGUUCCAAAGCUACGCCGUCUGAGAUAAUGGCUGAAGGCCUCUUAAGCCAGAAACUCAUCUAAAAAUAGAUGCUUUAAACUAUUUAAAAGAAUUAAAUUUAAAAUAUUUUUUUUAUUAAAAUUUGU